rnacentral:tRNA from 1 species
GGAUAGCUCAGUUGGUAGAGCGUGAGACUCUUAAUCUCAGGGUUGUAGAUUCAAGCCCCACGUUGGGCA